UCCCUCACGCUCUUAUCUUUCUGCUUUUAAGAACAAGAUUUGAUUAAACCCAAAUUGUACAGAUUCCUUCUCACUAUGCUACCAAGAGACAAUAACACUGCCCCUCCAACUCCAACUGAUUGAUCUUCCCUCUCUACCUUUUGAUGACUUGCAAAAGGCAACUCCUUUACUUUUAAAUUGGUUAAACCAAUUUUUUGACGAACUGAUUCGAUGAUUUUUUGGUCAGCUGGGUAUCCAAUGGCAUCUGUUGCAUAGAAAACAUUUGCAGCCAAGUCCCCAGUCGUAGUUAUGUCGGCCCUAGUCACAUUUAAUCCGUUCUCUCGGAAUGUUCUCAUCACCUCGGCGAGAAGCCCUUGUCUGUCUUCGGUGCAUAGCUCAAGCCUAACACCCUGCAUUCGAGAAAUUAACAAUUAAUAAAUCUUAAUAUGUUCAUAUCACAAAUUCAUAACAAUUCAUAAAUAAAAAAUGUGAAUAAAAAUACCAUACCUCGCAUGAUCUUCUCUCUACUGCAGCUUGCAAGCAUUGAAUCACACGUUGACGCUCCGGUUCUGAACUAAUUGGGGUUCCAUCCUUGUGUCUAAUGUAAAACUCCUGGAAUAAAAAUAAUUUUUACAUCAUUAAUUAGGCACAUAAUCAAGC
rnacentral:lncRNA from 1 species